UACGGAGGGUGCAAGCGUUAAUCGGAAUUACUGGGCGUAAAGCGCGUGUAGGCGGUUCGGUAAGUCCGCUGUGAAAGUCGGGGGCUCAACCCUCGAAUGCCGGUGGAUACUGUCGGGCUAGAGUACGGAAGAGGCGAGUGGAAUUCCUGGUGUAGCGGUGAAAUGCGCAGAUAUCAGGAGGAACACCCAUUGCGAAGGCAGCUCGCUGGGACGUUACUGACGCUGAGACGCGAAAGCGUGGGAGCAAACAGG
rnacentral:rRNA from 1 species